UUUCGCAAUGCCCGAAAGGGUGACGAAGCGACGCCGCGUGGGUGAGGAAGGCCCUCGGGUUGUAAAGCCCUGUCAGGAGUUAAGAAAUGUAAGUGCGCUAAUAUCGCAUUUAUUUGACGAAGGCUCCAAAGGAAGCCACGGCUAACUCUGUGCCAGCAGCCGCGGUAAUACAGAGGUGGCAAGCGUUGUUCGGAAUUAUUGGGCGUAAAGAGCACGUAGGUGGGUCUGUAAGUCAGAUGUGAAAGCCUUCUGUUCAACGGAAGAAUUGCAUCUGAAACUGCAGGUCUUGAGUGUAGGAGGGGAGAAUGGAACUUCUGGUGGAGCGGUGAAAUGCGUAGAUAUCAGAAGGAACGCCGGCGGCGAAAGCGAUUCUCUGGCCUAUUACUGACACUCAGUGUGCGAAAGCUAGGGGAGCAAACGGGAUUAGAUACCCCGGUAGUCCUAGCCGUAAACGAUGGGCACUAAGUAGAGGGGUUUUAA
rnacentral:rRNA from 1 species